rnacentral:rRNA from 1 species
UUGGGAGAACGUAUAGUCCUCUUAUGAGGCUAGUUUUGUUUUUUUUAAUUUUACAUCAUCUAUUACUUUUAGAGGAAGUAAGGAUUAAGUAUGUAAAAGAAAAACAAAAUACCAACUACGUUGGAUAAAGUUCUAGAUAGAAUACUUAUUAUGACUAUUUUCUAUCUACUUGUCUUGACCAAAUUACGUGCCAGCAGUCGCGGUAAUACGUAGAAGACGAGUGUUGUCCAUCUUUAAUAGGUUUAAAGGGUACCUAGACGGCAUUGAUUAGCCCAAAAUAGGGUUCUAUUUUAUUGCUAGAGUUUUAUACGAGAAGGGGAGUAUUUAUAGAGUAGAGAUAAAAUUCUUUGAUACCGUAAGGACUGGUAACGGCGAAAGCAGCCUUUUAUGUAAAAACUGACGUUGAGGGACGGAGGCUAGGAUAGCGAACAGGAUUAGAUACCCUAGUAGUCCUUGCAGAGAAUGAUGAAUGCCAUAGAUUAGAUAAAAAUUAUAUUUUUGGUUUAUAAAUGAAAGUGUAAGCAUUCCACCUUAAGAGUACUGUGGCAACGCUGGAACUAAAAUCAUUAGACCGUUUCUGAGAACAGUAGUGAAGUAUGUUGUUUAAUUCGGUAAUCCACGAAAAACCUUACCACAACUUGAAUAGUGUCAUUGACAGGAUAGGUUCUAUAACUUUUUUCCUUACUUUGUUUCUUGUGUUUCUAACGAAGCACAAGAAGCAAAAUAAGUAUAGGUAUUAAGGGUAUAAGUACCUCAUUCUAGGUGAUGUUACAAGUGUUGCACGGUUGUCUUCAGCUAAUGUCGUGAGAUUUAGGUUAGUUCCUUUAAAUUAGCGAAAACCCCGGCUUUAUUUUUUAAUUUUUAUCAUAAAGCAGUUCAUCGGUAUAUUGAAUACAUGAUAA